GAAGGAAGAGGAAGGGAGAGGAGGAAGAAAGAGAAGGAAAAAGGAGAAGGAAAAGAAAGAGGAAGAAAAAGAAAGAAGGAAGAGAAAGAGAGGGAAGGGAGGGGAAAAAGAUGGCGGAAAUUGCGGGAUUCGCCUGCGCGCGGUGAUGGACUUGACGGGCACGCGGCGAAAAUUACGGGGAGCGUAAAAAUGGAGAAUUGACGGGCCGGGGCCAGGACGGCGGGUCCGACGGAAGGGAAAGGAUUUGAUGGAGCUCGGCGGUCGGAAAAUUUUUGGAAAGUGUUUUUAACGGGUGAUUUAACUGGGUGUAUUUUACGGGCGUUACAAACCUACCCCACUUAAAUUGAAUCUCGUCCUCGAGAUUCGGCUGAGUCCUGAACAGAUGGGGAAAUUCCUUCUUUAACGCAUCCUCGCGUUCC
rnacentral:lncRNA from 1 species